UACGGGGGGUGCGAGCGUUGUCCGGAAUCACUGGGCGUAAAGGGCGCGUAGGUGGCGUGGUAAGGGGGUGGUGAAAGCCCGGGGCUCAACCCCGGGUCUGCCAUGCCGACUGUCAGGCUAGAGUACUGUAGGGGCAGGCGGAAUUCCGGGUGUAGCGGUGGAAUGCGUAGAGAUCCGGAGGAAGACCAGUGGCGAAGGCGGCCUGCUGGGCAGUUACUGACACUGAGGCGCGACAGCGUGGGGAGCAAACAGG
rnacentral:rRNA from 1 species